rnacentral:rRNA from 1 species
AGUGAACGCUGGCGGUAGGCCUAGCACAUGCAAGUCGAACGGCAGCACAGUAAGAGCUUGCUCUUACGGGUGGCGAGUGGCGGACGGGUGAGGAAUACAUCGGAAUCUACUUUUUCGUGGGGGAUAACGUAGGGAAACUUACGCUAAUACCGCAUACGACCUACGGGUGAAAGCAGGGGAUCUUCGGACCUUGCGCGAUUGAAUGAGCCGAUGUCGGAUUAGCUAGUUGGCGGGGUAAAGGCCCACCAAGGCGACGAUCCGUAGCUGGUCUGAGAGGAUGAUCAGCCACACUGGAACUGAGACACGGUCCAGACUCCUACGGGAGGCAGCAGUGGGGAAUAUUGGACAAUGGGCGCAAGCCUGAUCCAGCCAUACCGCGUGGGUGAAGAAGGCCUUCGGGUUGUAAAGCCCUUUUGUUGGGAAAGAAAAGCAGCAGGUUGAUACCCCGCUGUUCUGACGGUACCCAAAGAAUAAGCACCGGCUAACUUCGUG